UCCUGACUUCUCAUGUGAUCCUGUGUGAUUCGGCAAACCUUAAGUUCCCCCCCCACCCCUGCGUUCAGUAUAAUUAAGUCCACUUGUAGUUUCACCGCCUCUCUGGCAGCGAUAUGGACGACCGGCCCGCUGAGCCUCAUGUUCUAUACUUGUGGUGUUUUGCUGGAAUUCCUCCUCGUGAAAUGACUGAAGUGAAAAGAGCCUGAAGUGGACAACAGCGCUCAGCUUCAGCUCACUGCACUGCUGCUCUGUCAGCGUCUCGCCUCAAUCACAGCUGCUCCACCAUUGCCAAAAAAAGCAAAGUGGCGUUUGUGAAAAUGCAGUACGCUGAACUUGCUGCAUCAGUUUCGACAGCAUUCCACAAGCCGAGGUCACCGGACAGCUCUUGACUGGUCAAUGAGCAGGUCACCAGACAGGACUGGAAAAUUUAACAGUGUGAUUGGUCGCAGCAGCAGAGCGGAGCUGUGAUUGGUUAGUUAAAAGGCAAGUGGGCUUAAGCCCGGCUCUGGGCUGCUUUAUGGCUCUUUCUGGCUACUACGCUUCCUUGUAUGUCAUCAUCGGGGAUUGCUGAACCAUUCACCGAUGUCACUGUGUGUAUUCACGUGUGUCCGGGCCUAAAUAGAUGUGGUGAGUCAGGGGCAGAGGGCGCAAGAAGAAAGAUAACAGUGAAACGGGAAGAAUAACAGUGGAGGACAAAGAAGGGAGAAUGAAUUAUCCUCUCUCUUUAUGUUAUAAAUUGUGACCCAAAGGCCAGGUCCACACAUUAAAGGGGGGUUUUAUUUCUG